GAUGAACGCUGGCGGCGUGCUUAACACAUGCAAGUCGAACGGAAAGGCCCAAGCUUGCUUGGGUACUCGAGUGGCGAACGGGUGAGUAACACGUGGGUGAUCUGCCCUGCACUUCGGGAUAAGCCUGGGAAACUGGGUCUAAUACCGGAUAGGACGAUGGUUUGCAUGCCAUUGUGUAAAGAGUUUUCGGUGUGGGGUGGGGUCGCGGCCUUUCAGCGUGUGUGUGGGGUGUUGGCGUACCACAGCGGCGUCGGGUGGCCGGCGUGUGAGGGUGUACGGCGACAUUGGGGCAGGGAGACGGCCCAGACUCCUACGGGGGGCGGCAGUGGGGAGUAUUGCGCAAUGGGGGCAAGACUGAUGCAGAGACGCCGCGUGGGGGAUGACGGCCUUCGGGUUGUGAACUCCGUUCGCUAGGGACGAAGCGUUUGUGUGACGGUACCUGGAGAAGAAGCACCGGCUAACUACGUG
rnacentral:rRNA from 1 species